UUUGGAGAGGAAAUAGAGAAUGUGUGACCAGUUUUACAAUUUCCCCCACAGCUCUUCCUCCAAAACAGCUCAAACAGCCCUGUCACAAAUAAACAAGUCUAUUUAUUUGUGUCCAUGCUUAUUAUCAGUCCUCCUACCCCCUGAAUCAUAUAAGCUCCAUGAAAGCAGGCGCCAAUUCUAUUUUGUUCUCUUGUAUUCUCAGUGUCCUGAACAGUGCCUGCUAGGCCUCCAGUAAGUAUAUAUUGACUGGACUUCUCCAAGAGUUGGUGUGGUGGUGUGGAGCAGGCAGGGUGCCAGAGGGUUAGAGGAAUUGAAAGGUGGUUAGUGGAUCAUGUGGAGUAAAAUGACUAAUGUAAAUGCAUGGGUAAGUGACUGUUACUAGAGAUGGGUGUCCACGAGGCACUCAGAGGAGAGGCCUAACAUCCCUGUCAGGGCUUCUGGGUUCCUUUGACAGCUCUGACCUCAUUGUUCCCUUCUCAUCAUUCAUUGGCUUAUUAUAUUCACAGGCAGGACCUGCUGACUUGAAACACUUUGACCCAGAGUUCACCCAGGAAGCUGUGUCGAAGUCCAUUGGCUGCACUCCUGACACUGUGGCCAGCAGCUCUGGGGCCUCAAGUGCAUUCCUGGGAUUUUCCUAUGCACCAGACGAUGAUGCCAUCUUGGAUUGCUAGAGAAGCAUCUGUGAAACAUGCGAAGACAACUGGUAUCUCCCCCUGCCCCAACAAUUAUGGGGAAUGAAGCUGGAAGACCAUGGAAAACACACCAACGACACUGACACCUAGUGGAGAAAAAAGCUGGGUCAGGAAGAGCUAUUAUUACCCUUUGACAUCUGCUGAGAAUGCUGAAAUACUGAUUUCGAUUUUAUCUUUACAGCGUCUGUUAAUUGACAAAUGUGGAAAAUGAUGAGGGAGAGGCCAAAAUUCCAACUUCCCAAAGCAAACAGUAGAGUGUAAUUAUCAUACGUGUGAUAGUACUGUCAGAACUACACAAUCCACUAUGGGUUGUGAAAACACACAGUGGGUUCUAUGUACUCUGACUAAAAAUCACAAAAUUCUCACCAAGGUAGAAAAUAAAAUGGAAGAAAAACAUUGA